UAAGUCGGAUUAGCUAGUUGGUGGGGUAAAGGCCUACCAAGGCGACGAUCUGUAGCGGGUCUGAGAGGAUGAUCCGCCACACUGGGACUGAGACACGGCCCAGACUCCUACGGGAGGCAGCAGUGGGGAAUAUUGGACAAUGGGGGGAACCCUGAUCCAGCCAUGCCGCGUGUGUGAAGAAGGCCUUAUGGUUGUAAAGCACUUUAAGCGAGGAGGAGGCUACUUUAGUUAAUACCUAGAGAUAGUGGACGUUACUCGCAGAAUAAGCACCGGCUAACUCUGUGCCAGCAGCCGCGGUAAUACAGAGGGUGCGAGCGUUAAUCGGAUUUACUGGGCGUAAAGCGUGCGUAGGCGGCUUAUUAAGUCGGAUGUGAAAUCCCCGAGCUUAACUUGGGAAUUGCAUUCGAUACUGGUGAGCUAGAGUAUGGGAGAGGAUGGUAGAAUUCCAGGUGUAGCGGUGAAAUGCGUAGAGAUCUGGAGGAAUACCGAUGGCGAAGGCAGCCAUCUGGCCUAAUACUGACGCUGAGGUACGAAAGCAUGGGGAGCAAACAGGAUUAGAUACCCUGGUAGUCCAUGCCGUAAACGAUGUCUACUAGCCGUUG
rnacentral:rRNA from 1 species